rnacentral:rRNA from 1 species
CAUAGGUUAAUGAGGCGAACCGGGGGAACUGAAACAUCUAAGUACCCCGAGGAAAAGAAAUCAACCGAGAUUCCCCCAGUAGCGGCGAGCGAACGGGGAGCAGCCCAGAGCCUGAAUCAGUGUGUGUGUUAGUGGAAGCGUCUGGAAAGGCGCGCGAUACAGGGUGACAGCCCCGUACACAAAAAUGCACAUACUGUGAGCUCGAUGAGUAGGGCGGGACACGUGGUAUCCUGUCUGAAUAUGGGGGGACCAUCCUCCAAGGCUAAAUACUCCUGACUGACCGAUAGUGAACCAGUACCGUGAGGGAAAGGCGAAAAGAACCCCGGCGAGGGGAGUGAAAAAGAACCUGAAACCGUGUACGUACAAGCAGUGGGAGCACGCUUAGGCGUGUGACUGCGUACCUUUUGUAUAAUGGGUCAGCGACUUAUAUUCUGUAGCAAGGUUAACCGAAUAGGGGAGCCGAAGGGAAACCGAGUCUUAACUGGGCGUUAAGUUGCAGGGUAUAGACCCGAAACCCGGUGAUCUAGCCAUGGGCAGGUUGAAGGUUGGGUAACACUAACUGGAGGACCGAACCGACUAAUGUUGAAAAAUUAGCGGAUGACUUGUGGCUGGGGGUGAAAGGCCAAUCAAACCGGGAGAUAGCUGGUUCUCCCCGAAAGCUAUUUAGGUAGCGCCUCGUGAAUUCAUCUCCGGGGGUAGAGCACUGUUUCGGCAAGGGGGUCAUCCCGACUUACCAACCCGAUGCAAACUGCGAAUACCGGAGAAUGUUAUCACGGGAGACACACGGCGGGUGCUAACGUCCGUCGUGAAGAGGGAAACAACCCAGACCGCCAGCUAAGGUCCCAAAGUCAUGGUUAAGUGGGAAACGAUGUGGGAAGGCCCAGACAGCCAGGAUGUUGGCUUAGAAGCAGCCAUCAUUUAAAGAAAGCGUAAUAGCUCACUGGUCGAGUCGGCCUGCGCGGAAGAUGUAACGGGGCUAAACCAUGCACCGAAGCUGCGGCAGCGACACUAUGUGUUGUUGGGUAGGGGAGCGUUCUGUAAGCCUGUGAAGGUGUACUGUGAGGUAUGCUGGAGGUAUCAGAAGUGCGAAUGCUGACAUAAGUAACGAUAAAGCGGGUGAAAAGCCCGCUCGCCGGAAGACCAAGGGUUCCUGUCCAACGUUAAUCGGGGCAGGGUGAGUCGACCCCUAAGGCGAGGCCGAAAGGCGUAGUCGAUGGGAAACAGGUUAAUAUUCCUGUACUUGGUGUUACUGCGAAGGGGGGACGGAGAAGGCUAUGUUGGCCGGGCGACGGUUGUCCCGGUUUAAGCGUGUAGGCUGGUUUUCCAGGCAAAUCCGGAAAAUCAAGGCUGAGGCGUGAUGACGAGGCACUACGGUGCUGAAGCAACAAAUGCCCUGCUUCCAGGAAAAGCCUCUAAGCAUCAGGUAACAUCAAAUCGUACCCCAAACCGACACAGGUGGUCAGGUAGAGAAUACCAAGGCGCUUGAGAGAACUCGGGUGAAGGAACUAGGCAAAAUGGUGCCGUAACUUCGGGAGAAGGCACGCUGAUAUGUAGGUGAAGUCCCUCGCGGAUGGAGCUGAAAUCAGUCGAAGAUACCAGCUGGCUGCAACUGUUUAUUAAAAACACAGCACUGUGCAAACACGAAAGUGGACGUAUACGGUGUGACGCCUGCCCGGUGCCGGAAGGUUAAUUGAUGGGGUUAGCGCAAGCGAAGCUCUUGAUCGAAGCCCCGGUAAACGGCGGCCGUAACUAUAACGGUCCUAAGGUAGCGAAAUUCCUUGUCGGGUAAGUUCCGACCUGCACGAAUGGCGUAAUGAUGGCCAGGCUGUCUCCACCCGAGACUCAGUGAAAUUGAACUCGCUGUGAAGAUGCAGUGUACCCGCGGCAAGACGGAAAGACCCCGUGAACCUUUACUAUAGCUUGACACUGAACAUUGAGCCUUGAUGUGUAGGAUAGGUGGGAGGCUUUGAAGUGUGGACGCCAGUCUGCAUGGAGCCGACCUUGAAAUACCACCCUUUAAUGUUUGAUGUUCUAACGUUGACCCGUGAUCCGGGUUGCGGACAGUGUCUGGUGGGUAGUUUGACUGGGGCGGUCUCCUCCUAAAGAGUAACGGAGGAGCACGAAGGUUGGCUAAUCCUGGUCGGACAUCAGGAGGUUAGUGCAAUGGCAUAAGCCAGCUUGACUGCGAGCGUGACGGCGCGAGCAGGUGCGAAAGCAGGUCAUAGUGAUCCGGUGGUUCUGAAUGGAAGGGCCAUCGCUCAACGGAUAAAAGGUACUCCGGGGAUAACAGGCUGAUACCGCCCAAGAGUUCAUAUCGACGGCGGUGUUUGGCACCUCGAUGUCGGCUCAUCACAUCCUGGGGCUGAAGUAGGUCCCAAGGGUAUGGCUGUUCGCCAUUUAAAGUGGUACGCGAGCUGGGUUUAGAACGUCGUGAGACAGUUCGGUCCCUAUCUGCCGUGGGCGCUGGAGAACUGAGGGGGGCUGCUCCUAGUACGAGAGGACCGGAGUGGACGCAUCACUGGUGUUCGGGUUGUCAUGCCAAUGGCACUGCCCGGUAGCUAAAUGCGGAAGAGAUAAGUGCUGAAAGCAUCUAAGCACGAAACUUGCCCCGAGAUGAGUUCUCCCUGACCCUUUAAGGGUCCUGAAGGAACGUUGAAGACGACAACGUUGAUAG